UGGUGAAACUGUUCCUGUUCCUGAUUCUGAAAUUUCUUUGAACAGAUCCCCAAACCUUGAUGGCAUAAAUCAAAUUGAUGACAUUUCUCUAAGACGAUCAACACGUCACAGAGUGGCGCCUAAACGGCUUCAAUAUACUACUUUAGGCAAUCCGCUUAUUUCAGUUGUUCAAACUUUAUUGCACAGUUUGUCUGAUGCUUUAGUUUUGACACCCACCACUUCCAGCAAUGUUCACAUUGUUUAAUGUUUACAUGUCACGGGACGUGCAUGAUUUAAAGGGGGGAGGGUGUAACCCAGGGUGAAAACUGCCCUUAGUCCCGCCUUACUGCCCCAUUGGUUAGAGUGACAGUCAGUCACACAGUGCAUGCAGCCAAUUGACACACCUGAGGCAAUUAUUUAGGCUUGCUCCAGCUUUCCCCAGUCAGAUGUGAGGGGGAGAGCUGGAGACAAAGGAGCUACAGAUCCGAGAAAUCCAGUGAGUUUGGAGCCUUGGAGCUGCCAUACUCUCAUCUUUUAUUGGAAUUGGCCAGGUGAUCCCUUUUUAGGGAAAAAGAUGGCGAGCUUCUGAAAACUGGCUGGAGCCAGGAGAGCCUUAAGAAUCACUCCACAGUGGACUGGUCUGUAUCAUUUCCCCCCCUCCAUCUCACCACUCAGGCAUACACUCCAUUAUUCACUUCUUCAUCUGAAACAACUUGCGCUGGGACAUUCUUCAACUUAAAUAUCUGGAUAAUCCAACCAUGGAUUUCUGAAUGUGUGUCGGGUCAGACUCUGGACUGAUCAGCGGGGAAUUUAAGACCAGUUGUGCACAAACAAAAGGAUUACCACAGUACUGUGUAUAUAUAUUUUUUUGUAUUUAUUUUGGGUUCUAUGUAUGUUGUCUUGUAUUGUUUACUUUAAAUUUGUCUAAUACAUGGUAUUGAAGGCAGUUAUUUUGUGUUGUUUAUUGAUUACUGACAACGGCUCCAGUAGACGAAUUCUAGUCUUCUGAUUUUCU